GUUAAAAAGCUCGUAGUCGAAUUUUUAAGGAAAUCAAUUUUAUGUGGUCUUAAUGAACUGCAAAGGGAGAUGAUUUAUCUUAUUUUAUGCUUUUGCACCAUUGGAAUUCGUUUUCUGAUAGUGGAGUAAGUUUGUGUUUACUUUGAGAAAAUUAGAGUGUUCAAAGCAGUCUUACGGCUUUAUAUUAAAGCAUGGAAUGAUAAAUAAUGACAUCGGUAAAUUUUUGUCGGUUUGAGAGACUGAUGUAAUGAUUUAUAGAGUUAGUCGGAGGUAUUAGUAUUUUAUCGUUAGAAGUGAAAUUCUGGGAUCGACAAAAGACUAACAACUGCGAAAGCAUUUACCUAGAAUUUGCUCCUUGAUCAAGAACGUAAGUUGGGGAUCGAAGACGAUCAGAUACCGUCGUAGUCUCAACUUUAAACUAUAUCAGCUAGGGGUUGGCAAAUGUUUAUAUGACUUUGUUAGAACCUUAAGAGAAAUCAAAGCGUUUGGGUUCCGGGGGGAGUAUGGUCGCAAGGCUGAAACCUAAAGGAAU
rnacentral:rRNA from 1 species